GAUGAACGCUGGCGGCGUGCCUAAUACAUGCAAGUCGAGCGAACAGAUAAGGAGCUUGCUCCUUUGACGUUAGCGGCGGACGGGUGAGUAACACGUGGGUCACCUACCUAUAAGACUGGUAUAACUUCGGGAAACCGGAGCUAAUCCCGGAUAACAUUUUGAACCGCAUGGUUCUAAAGUGAAAGAUGGUUUUGCUAUCACUUAUAGAUGGACCCGCGCCGUAUUAGCUAGUUGGUAAGGUAACGGCUUACCAAGGCAACGAUACGUAGCCGACCUGAGAGGGGGAUAGGCCACACGGGAACUGAGACACGGUCAAGACGACUAAGGGAGGCAGCAGUAGGGAAUCUUCCGCAAUGGGCGAAAGCCUGACGGAGCAACGCCGAGUGAGUGAUGAAGGGGUUCGGUUCGUAAUACUCGGUUAUUAGGGAAGAACAAACGUGUAAGGAACUGUGCACGUCUUGACGGUACCUAAUCAGAAAGCCACGGCUAACUACGUG
rnacentral:rRNA from 1 species